AUCGCUUCUCGGCCUUUUGGCUAAGAUCAAGUGUAGAACAAGAGUAUCUUUCACCCAAUCUAUCCUCAUUAUCCAGGUUUUUUUUUUUUUUUCUAUUGCUACAAUAAAACAUCAUGAUCUUAAGCAACUUGAGUAGAAAUGGAUUUAUUUGGCUUACAUAUCCUAAUUACACACC
rnacentral:snRNA from 1 species